rnacentral:rRNA from 1 species
GACGAACGCUGGCGGCGCGCUUAACACAUGCAAGUCGAGCGAGAACCAGGGCUUCGGCCCUGGGGACAGCGGCGAACGGGUGAGUAACACGUGGGUAAUCCACCCUCGGCACCGGAAUAGCCCGGGGAAACCCGGAUUAAUGCCGGAUGGCCCGCCGGCCCUGCGGGGCUGGCGGAAAAGGUAGCUUCGGCCUCCGGCCGAGGACGAGCCCGCGACGGAUUAGCUUGUUGGUGGGGUGACGGCCUACCAAGGCUGCGAUCCGUAGCUGGUCUGAGAGGACGAUCAGCCACACUGGGACUGAGACACGGCCCAGACUCCUACGGGAGGCAGCAGUGGGGAAUCUUGCGCAAUGGGCGAAAGCCUGACGCAGCGACGCCGCGUGAGGGAAGAAGGCCUUCGGGUUGUAAACCUCUUUCAGGAGGGACGAAGCCACUCGGGUUAAUAGCCCAGAGGGUGACGGUACCUCCAGAAGAAGCCCCGGCUAACUACGUGCCAGCCGCCGCAGUAA